AGAGUUGUAGUCUGGCUCAGGAUGAACGGCUGGCGGCGUGCUUAACACAUAGCAAGUCGAACGGGGAGUUACUACGGAGAUGCGAUUUCGGUUCAAAUCAAGUGCAAUCUUAGUGGCGGACGGGUGAGUAACGCGUGGGUAACCUGCCUUGCACUGGGGAUACAACUUAGAAUAGGUGCUAAUACCGCAUAAGCGCACGGUCCCGCAUGGGACAGUGUGAAAAACUCCGGUGGUGCAAGAUGGACCCGCGUCUGAUUAGCUGGUUGGCGGGGUAAAGGCCCACCAAGGCGACGAUCAGUAGCCGGCCUGAGAGGGUGGACGGCCACAUUGGGACUGAGACACGGCCCAAACUCCUACGGGAGGCAGCAGUGGGGGAUAUUGGACAAUGGGGGAACCCUGAUCCAGCGACGCCGCGUGAGUGAAGAAGUAUUUCGGUAUGUAAAGCUCUGUCAGCAGGGAAGAAAGCAAUGACGGUACCUGACCAGGAAGCCCCGGCUAACUACGUG
rnacentral:rRNA from 1 species